rnacentral:rRNA from 1 species
CUACGGGGGGCUGCAGUGGGGAAUAUUGGACAAUGGGGGAAACCCUGAUCCAGCAAUGCCGCGUGUGUGAAGAAGGCCUGCGGGUUGUAAAGCACUUUCGGUUGGGAGGACUGCUUCUAGCACUAAUAUUGUUGGAAGUUGACGUUACCUUCAGAAGAAGCACCGGCUAACUCCGUGCCAGCAGCGCGCGGUAAUACGGAGGGUGCAAGCGUUAAUCGGAAUUACUGGGCGUAAAGCGCGCGUAGGCGGCUAGAUCCGUCGGGUGUGAAAGCCCCGGGCUUAACCUGGGAACUGCAUCCGAUACUGGCUAGCUUGAGUACAGGAGAGGAGAGUGGAAUUCCACAUGUAGCGGUGAAAUGCGUAGAUAUGUGGAGGAACACCAAUGGCGAAGGCAGCUCUCUGGCCUGAUACUGACGCUGAGGUGCGAAAGCGUGGGGAGCAAACAGGAUUAGAUACCCCCGUAGUC